AUUAAACCUAAAGACCUAAUUCGGCUCUAUGGCUCGAGUCUGAUUCACCUAAGCUAAUCUAUUCGGCUCAAUUAUCCAAUUGGUAUCUAAGAUAAGUAAUUAAAAUAAUUAUUUAAUUGAUUUCAUUUGCUUACCUGACUAAUUUAUUAGUGUCUAAAAGAAGCAAUGGGGGACCCCCACCAAUCUCCACAUACCCUGUCAAUUUGGAAGAUUGAGUCUCAAAUAUAAUUGCUUGGUGGUUUGAUUUAGUCCAUGCUAAUUACAUCAGUCAUGUGAUGACUGAUUAGAUG
rnacentral:lncRNA from 1 species